rnacentral:rRNA from 1 species
GAUGACGCAGAGGACCCACCUGUUCCCAUUCCGAACACAGUAGUUAAGCUCUGUGGUGCCGAAGAUACUUGGCUGGAGACGGCCUGGGAAAAUAGGAAGGCGCC